rnacentral:rRNA from 1 species
AUGAAAAAAAACAAGAGCCCUGCUCUUGUUGGUCUGUCAACAUACUUUUAUCAACAUUUUUGGGAUGUUGUUAAAUGAGAUUUUUGAAAACUUUUAGACGAUUUCCAUAGAGGAGACCUGGAUAUUAAUAGGCUAAACUAUGGGAUAAUUACUUUGGUGCCUAAAUCUAAAGAAGCUAAACCGAUUCAGAAAUUCAGGCCAAUUUGUUUACUUAAUAUCAGCUUCAAAAUUAUUACAAAAGUUCUGAUGCACAAGCUUAGUAAAGUGGCCAAUCCUAUUAUUUCUCCUGACCAGUUUGCCUUCAUAAAAGGAAGAUAUAUAAUGGAGGGAGUAGUGGUGCUACAUGAAGCUUUAAACUCUAUCUGUCACAAAAAAAAUCCCAGAAUGCUCUUCUGUUUAAAGUGGAUUUUGGAAAAGAAUAUGACAAAAUUACGUCGCCUUUUUUCUAUCAAAUGCUAA